rnacentral:rRNA from 1 species
AACGAACGCUGGCGGCAUGCCUAACACAUGCAAGUCGAACGAGACCUUCGGGUUUAGUGGCGCAAGGGGGGGUAACGCGUGGGAACCUGCCCUUAGGUUUGGAAUAAAUCCCCGAAAGGGGUGCUAAAACCGGGUAAUGUCUUCGGACCAAAGAUUUAUCGCCUUUGGAUGGGCCCGCGUUGGAUUAGCUAGUUGGUAGGGUAAAAGCCUACCAAGGCGACGAUCCAUAGCUGGUCUGAGAGGAUGAUCAGCCACACUGGGACUGAGACACGGCCCAGACUCCUACGGGAGGCAGCAGUGGGGAAUAUUGGACAAUGGGCGAAAGCCUGAUCCAGCAAUGCCGCGUGAGUGAUGAAGGCCUUAGGGUUGUAAAGCUCUUUUACCCGGGAUGAUAAUGACAGUACCGGGAGAAUAAGCUCCGGCUAACUCCGUG